CUAGUUGGUAAGGUAACGGCUUACCAAGGCGACGAUCCGUAGCCGGCCUGAGAGGGCGGUCGGCCACACUGACACUGACAUACGGGUCAGACUCCUACGGGAGGCAGCAGUCGGGAAUUUUGGGCAAUGGGCGAAAGCCUGACCCAGCAACGCCGCGUGAAGGAUGAAAUCCUUCGGGAUGUAAACUUCGCAAGAAUGGGAAGAAUAAGUAGGGGACAAUACCCCCUAUGAUGACGGUACCAUUUGUAAGCUCCGGCUAACUCCGUGCCAGCAGCCGCGGUAAUACGGGGGGAGCAAGCGUUGUUCGGAUUUACUGGGCGUAAAGGGCGCGUAGGCGGCCAGCGCAAGUCAGUUGUGAAAUCUCCGGGCUUAACUCGGAAAGGUCAACUGAUACUGCGCGGCUAGAGUGCAGAAGGGGCAACUGGAAUUCUCGGUGUAGCGGUGAAAUGCGUAGAUAUCGAGAGGAACACCUGCGGCGAAGGCGGGUUGCUGGGCUGACACUGACGCUGAGGCGCGAAAGCCAGGGGAGCGAACGGGAUUAGAUACCCCGGUAGUCCUGGCCUUAAACGAUGGAUGCUUGGUGUCUGGGGUUUUAUAGUCCCCGGGUGCCGCAGCUAACGCGUUAAGCAUCCCGCCUGGGGAGUACGGUCGCAAGACUGAAACUCAAAGGAAUUGACG
rnacentral:rRNA from 1 species